UCAGUGUCUCCAGUGUCCAAGGAAGAAAAUGGCAUUGUAUGUCCUGCCUGCUUCUCUGAGAAUGGCAUGAUCUGUAUCCCGCAGCCCCUCAACUGCACAGGGGCAGAGACGAAAUGCCUUGAGAUUAAGGGGUUGACUGGUGGUAAUCCUCCUUCAAUAGUGUCUGCUAUGGGUUGUGCAACUGAAAAUGCUUGCAAAUUAGGUACGAUAGAAUUGAAUUAUGAAUUGGAGUUUGGCUGUGUAAAGCCCAUCAGUGGGAGCCCCCCGCUGGCCCCCAUUAUCUCAUCCACUCUGACUAGUCUUCUCCUACUCAAAGUCUUGCUUUGAUUGCUCGAGGGUGGCAAGUUCAUCAUUCCACAACCUGGGAACGUGAAUGUCUUCUGAGGGUCCUUCUCCAGCAUACUCAACAGUAGAGAUUUAAAGAGCUGAUGCUUACAUACAUAUGUAUAUGCUUACUUGUUUGUAUCUGAGGUUAAAAUAAAUAAUAAUUGUUA